rnacentral:rRNA from 1 species
GAGUUUGCAUUCUGGCUCAGAAUAAACGCUGGCGGCGUGCUUAACACAUGCAAGUCGAGCGAGAAAGCUCCUUCGGGAGUGAGUACAGCGGCGGACGGGUGAGUAAUACGUAAGAAUCUGCCCUUCAGUGAAGAAUACCCUUGAGAAAUCGAGGUUAAUACUGCAUACGUCCCUUCGGGGAGAAAGAUGGCCUCUUUGCUGUUGCUGAAGGAUGAGCUUACGCGCUAUUAGUUUGUUGGUAAGGUAAAGGCUUACCAAGACGAUGAUGGCUAGCCGGCCUGAGAGGGUGUACGGCCACACUGGAACUUAGAUACGGUCCAGACUCCUACGGGAGGCAGCAGUGAGGAAUAUUGCGCAAUGGGCGAAAGCCUGACGCAGCGACGCCGCGUGGGGGAUGAAGGUCUUCGGAUCGUAAACUCCUGUUAAGCGGGAAGAAAUGCCUAACUUUAAUAUAGUUAGGUAAUGACGGUACCGCUAAAGAAAGCACCGGCUAACUUCGUGCCAGCAGCCGCGGUAAUACGAGGGGUGCAAGCGUUAUUCGGAAUCAUUGGGCGUAAAGGGUGUGCAGACGGUACACUAAGUUAUCUGUUAAAUUCUCCGGCCUAACCGGAGCUCAGCAGAUAAAACUGUUGUACUAGAGGAUGGAAGAGAGAAGUGGAAUUCUCGGAGUAGCGGUAAAAUGCGUAGAUCUCGAGAGGAACACCGAUGGCGAAGGCAGCUUCUUGGUCCAUUCCUGACGUUCAUACACGAAAGCGUGGGGAGCAAACAGGAUUAGAUACCCUGGUAGUCCACGCUGUAAACGAUGAUCACUAGACGUUAGUUUCGUUUUUUCGAAAUUAGUGUCGUAGCUAACGCGAUAAGUGAUCCGCCUGGGGAGUACGGUCGCAAGACUAAAACUCAAAGGAAUUGACGGGGGCCCGCACAAGCGGUGGAACAUGUGGUUUAAUUCGAUACUACGCGAGGAACCUUACCUAGACUUGACAUGUUUUUGACAACUGUAGAAAUACAGCCUUCUGAACUUCGGUUCAGACAAUUGCACAGGUGCUGCAUGGCUGUCGUCAGCUCGUGUCGUGAGAUGUCGGGUUAAGUCCUUUAACGAGCGCAACCCCUGUUGUUAGUUGCUAUCUGUUUACAGAGCACUCUAACGGGACUGCCUGGGAAACCAGGAGGAAGGAGGGGACGACGUCAAGUCAUCAUGGUCCUUAUGUCUAGGGCUACACACGUGUUACAAUGGUCAGUACAAUGGGUUGCAAUUCUGCGAAGAGGAGCUAAUCCCAAAAAGCUGAUCUAAGUUCGGAUUGAGGUCUGCAAUUUGACCUCAUGAAGUUGAAAUCGCUAGUAAUCGCGUAUCAGCAACGACGCGGUGAAUACGUUCUCGGGCCUUGAACACACCGCCCGUCACACCACGAAAGUUGCUUAUACCCAAAGUCAUUUUAGCUAACCCGUAAGGGGGGCGGAUGCCUAAGGUAUGGGUGAGGAUUGGGGUGAAGUCGUAACAAGGUAACC